UUGAAAGCACGCUCUCGUAUAUAUAUUCGUUCACCUGGAAAGUGUUUCCGAAUGUUAAUUUUCUUUCUUGAACAUUCUGCUUCCUUGUAUGAAACAGGAAAUGCCUCAGCGUAGUAUACAAGGAACCGGAGAACGGUCAUGCGUGAACAUCACUGGAAAGGGCCUAAUUCGAUCAUAUCAAACGCUGUAAUUAUUUCACAUUACCAGAACUGCUUACCUCCCUUGCAAUCUUACUAUUAGACUCAACACCGUUUGGAAAUCAGUGUUCAUUCAAAGUAAGUGAUCAGCUCUGACGAAGCUGGUAUGGCUUUGACUUUCUAU